UACGUAGGGUGCGAGCGUUAAUCGGAAUUACUGGGCGUAAAGCGUGCGCAGGCGGUUUGCUAAGACAGGUGUGAAAUCCCCGGGCUUAACCUGGGAACUGCGCUUGUGACUGGCAGGCUAGAGUACGGUAGAGGGGGGUGGAAUUCCUGGUGUAGCAGUGAAAUGCGUAGAUAUCAGGAGGAACACCGAUGGCGAAGGCAGCCCCCUGGGCCUGUACUGACGCUCAUGCACGAAAGCGUGGGGAGCAAACAGGAUUAGAUACCCGGGUA
rnacentral:rRNA from 1 species